CAGUCGCCACGGUAAUACGGAGGGUGCAAGCGUUAAUCGGAAUUACUGGGCGUAAAGCGCACGCAGGCGGUCUGACAAGUCAGAUGUGAAAUCCCCGGGCUUAACCUGGGAACUGCAUUUGAAACUGUCAGGCUGGAGUCUUGUAGAGGGGGGUAGAAUUCCAGGUGUAGCGGUGAAAUGCGUAGAGAUCUGGAGGAAUACCGGUGGCGAAGGCGGCCCCCUGGACAAAGACUGACGCUCAGGUGCGAAAGCGUGGGGAGCAAACAGGAUUAGAUACCCGCGUAGUCCUGUCUCUUAUAAC
rnacentral:rRNA from 1 species